AAUUCCUUGUAAUCAAGUAGGUCAGUAGGUUUCAUUCAUUGUAAGUACUAUUUUGAGAAAGUUUGUCUGUAUUUGCUCCAAAAAGAUUUAAAAAAAAAAUGUAUUUGCAAUGAAAACCCAAAAAAUUAGGAAUUUGCCUAAUGAGGGUGGAUCUGCUGCGAGUCGCAACCGGAACCGCGGAGGAAAUUUGAAUCGUCACAAUUUUUAGGGACAGAAUCAAAAUAAUCCAAAUCUGUACCCUGCCAUGCUUCUCUAUGCCGUAUUGUGGUUGGACGAUCAAGAAAUGAAGAACACGACAGAUACGCUUUUUUGUGUGCCUUGGUACAUUCAUCCCAAACAAUGAGUUUACAUGCUCGCAGUUCUUUUCCCAUACCUGAUGUUGAAGUACAUUUGAAGAAAUUUAUGUUCACUGUCUGGGAACGGGAGCAGGGCGCCAGCUUUGUGAUAUGAUUUUGAAAGUUGGCAUGAAUUCGUCAGUUACAAUUUACGAACCAAAAGACGUCAUUUCAAGCAGAGUUCGCAGUGGCUCUGGUGGUGUUUCAAGUUGACGUAAUUUGAUUUUCCCGCCAGAACAACACAUUUCUUUCAUUUCAUUAAACUUCAGAGCCUGGCAGCAAGUGCGGACAUGGCUCAUCUGGCCAAUGACGACAUGGCGACUGGAGCUAUAAUCAACAGCUGGAUCAUAUCGAAAUGCAGGAAAUUGCUGAUUUCGAUCUACUGUUAUCUGUGCAUGGAAUUCAACAGACCUUGCCCUAUCGUGUUCAUGUCUUUGCAAGCGAAUUAAAUCUAUUGCUGUUGAUUUUCAAGCCUGA